rnacentral:misc_RNA from 1 species
GAUGAAGAACGCAGCGAAAUGCGAUAAGUAAUGUGAAUUGCAGAAUUCAGUGAAUCAUCGAAUCUUUGAACGCACCUUGCGCUCCUUGGUAUUCCGAGGAGCAUGCCUGUUCGAGCGUCAUUUCACCACUCAAGCCUGGCUUGGUGUUGGGCGACGUCCCCUUUGGGGACGCGCCUCGAAACGCUCGGCGGCGUGGCACCGGCUUUAAGCGUAGCAGAAUCUUUCGCUUUGGAAGUCGGGGCCCCGUCUGCCGGAAGACCUACUCGCAAGGUUGACCUCGGAUCAGGCAGGGAUACCCGCUGAACUUAAGCAUAUCAAUAAGCGGAGGA